ensembl:processed_transcript E230016M11Rik RIKEN cDNA E230016M11 gene
GAGAGAAGGAGGAAGAGAAGGAGGAGGAGUAAGAAACAUGGUUUUAAAAGCAACUGUCCUGAAACACCCAUUCUCUCCAUCCUCCUAGAUAACCAGCUUGUCUUAUAACCUGGAACUUCUUUUAUAAAAUGGGAAAACUUUAUUCUUUUCUCCCUAGGAUGCCCCAUUUUGCCCUUUGAUGACCUCCUCCUCCUCCUCCUCUUCCUCCUCUUCCUCUUCUUCCUCCUCUUUCUCCUCUUCCUCCCCCUCCUCCUCUUUGUGCCUCUGCUUUACUAGGGUAAUUGCUCUGAGUGCCCCCUGACCACUUGGGGGAAAUCUAUCAAUUGCAACUGUUCGCUUGCUUCUCUGGGCUUCUGGCAGCCCCCACCCGCUGCACCCCCUGCACAUUGCUGCUGUGCUGGAACUGUACAAGACCUGUUUGUUUUUCUAAGCAGCCUCUUAAAUUAGUAUUUUGCUUAGCACUUUUUACUGUCUUUCUCUCCUUGCAGACAUGUUAGAAGCCUUCCCACAGGCUGUUUACCUAAAGAAACCACUGUUCUCCUGAGGCACUGACUAUCCAGAUGACAGUGUCCCACUGUGCGUCCCACAAAUAUGCUGGGCAAUCAGUGCUAGACACCACAGGAGUUGCAAAGCAGCGCAACCCAAGGACACACUUCCCAAGGCUGAAGUCAUCACAAAAGUCAGGACAGAGCUCCAGAAGGCACUGCACAGGAACACAUGGUUAAGCCUGGCCAACUCCCACACGUCUGCUACCACAGCUACUCUGCAGCCCAGACUGCAGGAUCCAGAAGUUCAAGAAUCUCACUAUAUAUCUCUGGCUCCCUGACUGGACUGGAACUCUAUAUGUAGUCUAGUCUAGCCUUGAUCUCACAGAAAUCUGCACACCUGCUAGGACUGGCCAUGCACACCAUUACACAGGACAAAAUAAAUAUUAAGAAAGAAAGGAUUGGUGAAUGAAUGUACACUUAUGUAUAAAAACCAUCUCUAUUAUA